rfam:Candidatus Neoehrlichia lotoris str. RAC413 nlRAC413.contig.0_1, whole genome shotgun sequence.
GUUGGUGGUUAUAGCAAAAGUGAAACACCCGGUUACAUUUCGAACCCGGAAGUUAAGCCUUUUAGCGCCUAUGGUACUUUAUCUUAAGAUAUGGGAGAGUAGGACGCUGCCAGCC